GGAAGUGUGGCUGAGCGGUCGAAAGCGUCGGUCUUGAAAACCGAAGGCGUUAACGCGUCCGUGGGUUCGAAUCCUACCACUUCCU
rnacentral:tRNA from 1 species